rnacentral:rRNA from 1 species
UGUGAGCUCGAUGAGUAGGGCGGGACACGUGGUAUCCUGUCUGAAUAUGGGGGGACCAUCCUCCAAGGCUAAAUACUCCUGACUGACCGAUAGUGAACCAGUACCGUGAGGGAAAGGCGAAAAGAACCCCGGCGAGGGGAGUGAAAAAGAACCUGAAACCGUGUACGUACAAGCAGUGGGAGCACGCUUCGGCGUGUGACUGCGUACCUUUUGUAUAAUGGGUCAGCGACUUAUAUUCUGUAGCAAGGUUAACCGAAUAGGGGAGCCGAAGGGAAACCGAGUCUUAACUGGGCGUUAAGUUGCAGGGUAUAGACCCGAAACCCGGUGAUCUAGCCAUGGGCAGGUUGAAGGUUGGGUAACACUAACUGGAGGACCGAACCGACUAAUGUUGAAAAAUUAGCGGAUGACUUGUGGCUGGGGGUGAAAGGCCAAUCAAACCGGGAGAUAGCUGGUUCUCCCCGAAAGCUAUUUAGGUAGCGCCUCGUGAAUUCAUCUCCGGGGGUAGAGCACUGUUUCGGCAAGGGGGUCAUCCCGACUUACCAACCCGAUGCAAACUGCGAAUACCGGAGAAUGUUAUCACGGGAGACACACGGCGGGUGCUAACGUCCGUCGUGAAGAGGGAAACAACCCAGACCGCCAGCUAAGGUCCCAAAGUCAUGGUUAAGUGGGAAACGAUGUGGGAAGGCCCAGACAGCCAGGAUGUUGGCUUAGAAGCAGCCAUCAUUUAAAGAAAGCGUAAUAGCUCACUGGUCGAGUCGGCCUGCGCGGAAGAUGUAACGGGGCUAAACCAUGCACCGAAGCUGCGGCAGCGACGCUGAUGCGUUGUUGGGUAGGGGAGCGUUCUGUAAGCCUGCGAAGGUGUGCUGUGAGGCAUGCUGGAGGUAUCAGAAGUGCGAAUGCUGACAUAAGUAACGAUAAAGCGGGUGAAAAGCCCGCUCGCCGGAAGACCAAGGGUUCCUGUCCAACGUUAAUCGGGGCAGGGUGAGUCGACCCCUAAGGCGAGGCCGAAAGGCGUAGUCGAUGGGAAACAGGUUAAUAUUCCUGUACUUGGUGUUACUGCGAAGGGGGGACGGAGAAGGCUAUGUUGGCCGGGCGACGGUUGUCCCGGUUUAAGCGUGUAGGCUGGUUUUCCAGGCAAAUCCGGAAAAUCAAGGCUGAGGCGUGAUGACGAGGCACUACGGUGCUGAAGCAACAAAUGCCCUGCUUCCAGGAAAAGCCUCUAAGCAUCAGGUAACAUCAAAUCGUACCCCAAACCGACACAGGUGGUCAGGUAGAGAAUACCAAGGCGCUUGAGAGAACUCGGGUGAAGGAACUAGGCAAAAUGGUGCCGUAACUUCGGGAGAAGGCACGCUGAUAUGUAGGUGAAGCCCCUCGCGGAUGGAGCUGAAAUCAGUCGAAGAUACCAGCUGGCUGCAACUGUUUAUUAAAAACACAGCACUGUGCAAACACGAAAGUGGACGUAUACGGUGUGACGCCUGCCCGGUGCCGGAAGGUUAAUUGAUGGGGUUAGCCGCAAGGCGAAGCUCUUGAUCGAAGCCCCGGUAAACGGCGGCCGUAACUAUAACGGUCCUAAGGUAGCGAAAUUCCUUGUCGGGUAAGUUCCGACCUGCACGAAUGGCGUAAUGAUGGCCAGGCUGUCUCCACCCGAGACUCAGUGAAAUUGAACUCGCUGUGAAGAUGCAGUGUACCCGCGGCAAGACGGAAAGACCCCGUGAACCUUUACUAUAGCUUGACACUGAACAUUGAGCCUUGAUGUGUAGGAUAGGUGGGAGGCUUUGAAGUGUGGACGCCAGUCUGCAUGGAGCCGACCUUGAAAUACCACCCUUUAAUGUUUGAUGUUCUAACGUUGACCCGUAAUCCGGGUUGCGGACAGUGUCUGGUGGGUAGUUUGACUGGGGCGGUCUCCUCCUAAAGAGUAACGGAGGAGCACGAAGGUUGGCUAAUCCUGGUCGGACAUCAGGAGGUUAGUGCAAUGGCAUAAGCCAGCUUGACUGCGAGCGUGACGGCGCGAGCAGGUGCGAAAGCAGGUCAUAGUGAUCCGGUGGUUCUGAAUGGAAGGGCCAUCGCUCAACGGAUAAAAGGUACUCCGGGGAUAACAGGCUGAUACCGCCCAAGAGUUCAUAUCGACGGCGGUGUUUGGCACCUCGAUGUCGGCUCAUCACAUCCUGGGGCUGAAGUAGGUCCCAAGGGUAUGGCUGUUCGCCAUUUAAAGUGGUACGCGAGCUGGGUUUAGAACGUCGUGAGACAGUUCGGUCCCUAUCUGCCGUGGGCGCUGGAGAACUGAGGGGGGCUGCUCCUAGUACGAGAGGACCGGAGUGGACGCAUCACUGGUGUUCGGGUUGUCAUGCCAAUGGCACUGCCCGGUAGCUAAAUGCGGAAGAGAUAAGUGCUGAAAGCAUCUAAGCACGAAACUUGCCCCGAGAUGAGUUCUCCCUGACUCCUUGAGAGUCCUGAAGGAACGUUGAAGACGACGACGUUGAUAGGCCGGGUGUGUAAGCGCAGCGAUGCGUUGAGCUAACCGGUACUAAUGAACCGUGAGGCUUAACCUU